UAGGGAAUCUUCGGCAAUGGGGGGAACCCUGACCGAGCAACGCCGCGUGAGUGAAGAAGGUUUUCGGAUCGUAAAGCUCUGUUGUUAAGGAAGAACGAGUGUGAGAAUGGAAAGUUCAUACUGUGACGGUACUUAACCAGAAAGGGACGGCUAACUACGUGCCAGCAGCCGCGGUAAUACGUAGGUCCCGAGCGUUGUCCGGAUUUAUUGGGCGUAAAGCGAGCGCAGGCGGUUAGAUAAGUCUGAAGUUAAAGGCAGUGGCUCAACCAUUGUAGGCUUUGGAAACUGUUUAACUUGAGUGCAGAAGGGGAGAGUGGAAUUCCAUGUGUAGCGGUGAAAUGCGUAGAUAUAUGGAGGAACACCGGUGGCGAAAGCGGCUCUCUGGUCUGUAACUGACGCUGAGGUACGAAAGCGUGGGGAGCAAACAGG
rnacentral:rRNA from 1 species